CGACCUCCUACUCAUCAAAGCCGACACUGCAUUCAUUGUGGAUGUAGGCAUUGCAUGGGAAGGUGGACGCCCACUAAAGCUGGUCAACAAAAUGAAAUGUGACAAGUACAAAACUGCCAUCCCGGCAAUUUUGGAAACAUUUCACGUUGGCCAUGCUGAGACGUACGGCGUUAUUCUGGGCAGCCGCGGAUGCUGGCUCAAGAGCAACGACAAGGCGUUGGCAUCAAUUGGGCUCAAUAUCACACGGAAGAUGAAAGAACACCUGAGCUGGUUGACGUUUGAAAUUAUAUUUAUAACUCAAAUAAGCCGGAUUUAUAACUCAUUCAUGAAAAAAUGAGGUUUUUGUUUUCUUUUUUCCUUUUACCAUUCUUGUUCCAUUGUUGUUAUUUGCUUUAAUCCUGUAUUUUACCGCCGGCAAUUCCAUUGUUAUUAUUACUGUUACUGUUAUUAUUGUUACUAUUGUUUUUACUUUUACUUACUACUGUUAUUAUACUUUAAUUCGUUAACUUACGUUAUUGUUACCACUACUUACUUUGCUCUCUCGCAAACGUUCGUUGUUGUUUCUUUUGGACCAGGUUUAGAGAAAUCGCACGCACAGCGGAACUGGACCGCUUAAGCCAGAAAUAGUAAAGUAACAAUAGCCAAAUGCCUCGUCAUCUAAUUAGUGACGCGUAUGAAUGGAUCAACAAGAUUCCUUCUGUCCCUAUCUACUAUCUAGCGAAACCACAGCCAAGGGAACGGGCUUGGCAAAAUCAGCGGGGAAAGAAGACCCUGUUGAGCUUGACUCUAGUCUGACUCUGUGAAGAGACAUGAAAGGUGUAGCAUAGGUGGGAGAUUGUCAAUUUGCCAUCGUUCACGCGAUGGUCCGGUGAUCGCCAAUGAAAUACCACUACUUUGAUCGUUUCUUUACUUAUUCGGUAAAGCGAAAAAAUUGUGGCCAAUUUGGCGGCGUUUAUGUCGCUGUUGGUCAUUGUUUUCAUGUUGGAAUUGAAGCUUUGUUUUACAGGCCGUCGCUUUUGGUGGUCUUCAAUUUGG
rnacentral:ncRNA from 1 species